rnacentral:tRNA from 1 species
UCCCUGGUGGUCCAGUGGCUAAGACCCUGUGCUUCCAACGCAGGGAGCCCAGGUUUGAUCCCUGUUCAGGGAA